ACUCCGUAUUUUUAAUACUAAUUUCGUACUAAUUAAGAAAAUAUAAAAGAAUUAAUAAAAAGGUAUUUUAAUUUAUUUACAAGUUAAUAGGAAUAAAUUAUUAGUAAUAUGAAGUUGUUAGGAAUUUCCGGAAUUUUUUUAAAGAGUAACCUAAUCGACCUAGGGUUACUACCUUUUGGAAGGGAGUAUAAAAAGAAAAGAAGAUGGAAUUUCAGAAAAAAACCCUAAACCCUUUCUUCUCCCUCUCUCCCAGCCGACUUUUCUCUCUCCUCACUCUCUCCUCAGCCGAUUUCUCCCUUCUUCUCUCUCUCUCGAAUUUUUCAGCCUCUCUCCCUCAGAUUUUCUUUCUUCCUCUCUCGGAUUCCCUCUCAGUCGGUGUUUGAGGGUCGCGCGGGCGUAGUCUCGAGUGGUGCGAACUCGCGCUGCGAGCGACGAGGGUGUGCCGAGGUUGCGAGCGACGAGGGUGUGCCGAGGUUGCGAGCGACGAAGGCUGCGCGAGGUUUGGUUCGAGCGGUGCGCAGGCGUGUCGAGUUGUGCGCGACGGUGUUCGAAAGGCUGCGAGAAAUCGUCGCAGGUUGGUGCGUGGUUUGUGCGAGUUCUGUCGCACGAGGGUUUCGGUUGUUGCGCGGGGAUUGUGCGAACCAGCAAGGCUGGUGUGGGUGUCCGUGGGCGACGAGCGAAACCGGGCGAGGCUACUGUGCACUCGUGUGGUGUGGUGUUUCGAUUCCGGAGGUCGGUCGCCGGAGUUCUUUUGCCGGCGAGAUUUAGCGGUCCCAAUUUCAUAAGCGGCUCGUUCUAUUAAGUCAGCGAAAAUUCUCCGUUACAAGACUAGGUGAGCUGGUGCUGCUGCAUGACUCAAGCAUAUGGGGGCUAGACUGUAGUUUGAAGUUAACUUUUGGUUUGAUCAUUAAUGAAUUUUAUAGAACAUUGUUACAUGGUUUGAGUUUGAAUAAAGAGGGGUCAUCUAUGAUUCCCGAGUUGUAAUUACAUUUUCUAUUCCGCUGCAAUUUGGUUUUGAGACAAUGAAUUUGAGUUACCGUAUUUCUAAUUA